rnacentral:rRNA from 1 species
GUGCCAAGCAGCCGCGGUAAUUCCAGCUCCAAUAGCGUAUAUUAAAGUGUGNNCAGUUAAAAAGCUCGUAGUUGAACCUUGGGUCUGGCUGGCCGGUCCGCCUCACCGCGUGUACUGGUCCGGCCGGACCUUUCCUUCUGGGGAGCCGCAUGCCCUUCACUGGGCGUGUCGGGGAACCAGGACUUUUACUUUGAAAAAAUUAGAGUGUUCAAAGCAGGCCUUUGCUCGAAUACAUUAGCAUGGAGUAAUAGAAUAGGACGUGCGGUUCUAUUUUGUUGGUUUCUAGGACCGCCGUAAUGAUUAAUAGGGAUAGUCGGGGGCAUCCGUAUUCAAUUGUCAGAGGUGAAAUUCUUGGAUUUAUUGAAGACGAACUACUGCGAAAGCAUUUGCCAAGGAUGUUUUCAUUAAUCAGUGAACGAAAGUUAGGGGAUCGAAGACGAUCAGAUACCGUCGUAGUCUUAACCAUAAACUAUGCCGACUCGGGAUCGGUGGGCGUUACUAUUUUGACUCCAUCGGCACCGUACGAGAAAUCAAAGUUUUUGGGUUCUGGGGGGAGUAUGGUCGCAAGGCUGAAACUUAAAGAAAUUGACGGAAGGGCACCACCAGGCGUGGAGCCUGCGGCUUAAUUUGACUCAACACGGGGAAACUCACCAGGUCCAGACACAAUAAGGAUUGACAGAUUGAGAGCUCUUUCUUGAUUUUGUGGGUGGUGGUGCAUGGCCGUUCUUAGUUGGUGGAGUGAUUUGUCUGCUUAAUUGCGAUAACGAACGAGACCUUAACCUGCUAAAUAGCCCGGCCCGCUUUGGCGGGUCGCCGGCUUCUUAGAGGGACUAUCGGCUCAAGCCGAUGGAAGUUUGAGGCAAUAACAGGUCUGUGAUGCCCC